rnacentral:rRNA from 1 species
UUAAGUGAAUAAGGGCGCACGGUGGAUGCCUUGGCACUAGGAGCCGAUGAAGGACGGGACUAACACCGAUAUGCUUUGGGGAGCUGUAAGUAAGCUAUGAUCCAGAGAUUUCCGAAUGGGGGAACCCAAUAUCUUUUAUAGGAUAUUACUUUUCAGUGAAUACAUAGCUGAUUAGAGGUAGACGCAGAGAACUGAAACAUCUUAGUAUCUGCAGGAAGAGAAAGAAAAUUCGAUUCCCUGAGUAGCGGCGAGCGAAACGGGAAGAGCCCAAACCAACAAGCUUGCUUGUUGGGGUUGUAGGACUCCAAUAUGGUAGUCUGUUAGUAUAGUUGAAGGAUUUGGAAAAUUCCGCUAAAGAGGGUGAAAGCCCCGUAGACGAAAUGCUAACAACACCUAGGAGGAUCCUGAGUACGGCGGAACACGAGAAAUUCCGUCGGAAUCCGCGGGGACCAUCCCGCAAGGCUAAAUACUCCCUAGUGACCGAUAGUGAACCAGUACCGUGAGGGAAAGGUGAAAAGCACCCCGGAAGGGGAGUGAAAUAGAUCCUGAAACCGUGUGCCUACAACAAGUCAAAGCUCGUUAAUGAGUGAUGGCGUGCCUUUUGUAGAAUGAACCGGCGAGUUACGAUUGCAUGCGAGGUUAAGUCGAAGAGACGGAGCCGCAGCGAAAGCGAGUCUGAAUAGGGCGAAUGAGUAUGUAGUCGUAGACCCGAAACCAUGUGAUCUACCCAUGUCCAGGUUGAAGGUGCGGUAAAACGCACUGGAGGACCGAACCCACGUACGUUGAAAAGUGCGGGGAUGAGGUGUGGGUAGCGGAGAAAUUCCAAACGAACUUGGAGAUAGCUGGUUCUCUCCGAAAUAGCUUUAGGGCUAGCCUCGGAAUUGAGAAUGAUGGAGGUAGAGCACUGUUUGGACUAGGGGCCCAUCUCGGGUUACCGAAUUCAGAUAAACUCCGAAUGCCAUUCAUUUAUAUCCGGGAGUCAGACUGCGAGUGAUAAGAUCCGUAGUCGAAAGGGAAACAGCCCAGACCACCAGCUAAGGUCCCAAAAUAUAUGUUAAGUGGAAAAGGAUGUGGGGUUGCACAGACAACUAGGAUGUUGGCUUAGAAGCAGCCACCAUUUAAAGAGUGCGUAAUAGCUCACUAGUCGAGUGACCCUGCGCCGAAAAUGUACCGGGGCUAAACAUAUUACCGAAGCUGUGGACUACACCAUUAGGUGUAGUGGUAGGAGAGCGUUCUAAGGGCGUUGAAGGUCGAUCGUGAGGACGGCUGGAGCGCUUAGAAGUGAGAAUGCCGGUAUGAGUAGCGAAAGACAGGUGAGAAUCCUGUCCACCGUAUGACUAAGGUUUCCUGGGGAAGGCUCGUCCGCCCAGGGUUAGUCGGGACCUAAGCCGAGGCCGAUAGGCGUAGGCGAUGGACAACAGGUUGAUAUUCCUGUACCAGUUGUUUUUGUUUGAGCAAUGGAGGGACGCAGUAGGCUAAGGAAUGCAUGCGAUUGGAAGUGCAUGUCCAAGCAAUGAGUCUUGAGUAGAGUUAAAUGCUUUACUCUCUAAGGACAAGUUGUGACGGGGAGCGAAAUAAUAGUAGCGAAGUUCCUGAUGUCACACUGCCAAGAAAAGCUUCUAGUGAGAAAACAACUGCCCGUACCGUAAACCGACACAGGUAGUCGAGGAGAGUAUCCUAAGGUGAGCGAGCGAACUCUCGUUAAGGAACUCGGCAAAAUGACCCCGUAACUUCGGGAGAAGGGGUGCUGACUUCGGUCAGCCGCAGUGAAUAGGCCCAAGCGACUGUUUAUCAAAAACACAGGUCUCUGCAAAAUCGUAAGAUGAAGUAUAGGGGCUGACGCCUGCCCGGUGCUGGAAGGUUAAGAGGAUGGGUUAGCUUCGGCGAAGCUCAGAAUUGAAGCCCCAGUAAACGGCGGCCGUAACUAUAACGGUCCUAAGGUAGCGAAAUUCCUUGUCGGGU